rnacentral:lncRNA from 1 species
AAAUACAAUAUAUUGAUAAAAAAAUCAAACAAAAUACUCUUCUAUCAACAAAAAUUCUUGUUGUCCUAAUUUCUAAACCACAAUCCCAAAUGUACAAUAUUUAUCUACAAAAAUGAAAACUUUCCUAAAAUAGAAUUUUUGAAAAAAUUAUUUAAAAAAUACAAUAUAUUGAUAAAAAAAUCAAACAAAAUACUCUUCUAUCAACAAGAAUUCUUGUUGUCCUAAUUUCUAAACCACAAUCCCAAAUGUACAAUAUUUCUCUACAAAAAAUAAAAACUUUCCUAAAAUAGAAUUUUUGAGAAUUUUAUUUUUAAAAUACAACCUUUUGAUCAAAAAAUCUAAAAGAGUACUCUUCUAUCAAC